ACCCCGGGGGCCCCGCUGGGGGCGCGGGCCCGGACCCGCAGCGGCCGCGGGGAGACUUGAACCCGGAGCAGGCGACGGGCGAGGAUGUCACCCUCCUCCGGGAGGCCCCUGGUGGGAGACGCCUCCUUGCGCAGGGACCUGCGACCAAGACAUCGAGGCCACCCCAAGAGGGACACUGAGUAAAAAUGGCACGAAGCAUCAGCUCCUCCAAUAGUAGGUUUUGCCAAGCCACCCCUCCACAUGUGCUAUUUGACUUACUUGCUGGCUGGGAAACUCUUAACUCAUUUCCUAAUUACUGCACUGUGCUGAGCUAAAAGCCUUAAAGCUGUCCCACAAAACACAUAGGCUGUAAUUAUUUAUUUGAAAGAGAGAGAAAGCAUACAAGCAGGAGGAGCAGAAGAAGAAUGAGAAGGAGAAUCUCAAGCAGACUCUACUCUGAGCCGGGAACCCAACUUGAGGCCCAAUCCCAUGACCCUGAGAUCACAACCUGACUGAAACCAAGAAUCAGACACUCAGCCAACUGUGCCACCCGGACACCCCAAUAUCUAUUUCUUAACCUGCGUAGGAAUUACAUGAUAGUAAUUGCAUCAUGCUUUGCUUUAUGAUUUUUAUUAUGCAGUUAUUUAUGUCUUAUGUACUUUGUGAGUGGUAUAUUUCAUAAUAUUGUAAAAUGAAAUGUUUUAAAAAGGAAGAAUACACACACAGCCAGUUGGGUAAGUUCAGUCAACCUGCACAGCCAGUUGCGCAGCCAUUCUGCUGCAGCCAGAACACUCUCAAGUGAUAAUAAUAGUAACAAGUUGCAUGAUUAAACACCUACUGUGACCAGAAACCAUGCUUAUUCAAUGCUCAAAAUAAUCAUGCAAGUUGACUGUCAUUAUUCCUAUGUAAUGUAAAUGUCUGUAAAUCACCCAUCACAUGCCUCCUUUCCAGCCUACCUGGACUUUGGACUUGGUCUAUGGCUACAGCCUGUAUCUUUACAGCCUGAAUGUCUUUCAUUCCUUACAGUGCUCAAUAUCUAGAUGGGUAUAGGAGUAAUGACAAGUUGGGCCUUGAGAAGCCAUAUUAUGUAACCUGAAGAUUUCCUCCUUCCUUCACCCCUGGACAGCCAUCUAGCAAACAGGAUCCAGCUUCCUGGACCACAAAAACAAUUCUGACAGGGGUUCUAUGAAGCGUGUAUAUCUUUAUGGAGGCUUCCAGUUUCACAAAUUCAGAGGGUUGAGAUACUGUCCAUGGAAUAGAUGAAUGCUGUACCACCUCAAUACAUAGGUGAGCCCUUGCCAAAAGGCUCCAGAUUUCUGGGAAAUUGUUCUCUCCUUUAAAAACAUUUUAUGGGGCAGCCCAGGUGGCUCAGCGGUUUAGCACCAUCUUCAGCCCAGGUCAUGGUCCUGGAGACCAGGGAUUGAGUCCCAUCUCUGGCUCCCUGCAUGGAGCCUGCUUCU